rnacentral:rRNA from 1 species
AUUGAACGCUGGCGGCAUGCUUUACACAUGCAAGUCGAACGGUAACAGGGUGCUUGCACCGCUGACGAGUGGCGAACGGGUGAGUAAUGCGUCGGAACGUGCCGAGUAGUGGGGGAUAACGCAGCGAAAGUUGUGCUAAUACCGCAUACGUACUGAGGUAGAAAGUGGGGGACCUUCGGGCCUCACGCUAUUCGAGCGGCCGACGUCUGAUUAGCUAGUAGGUGAGGUAAAGGCUCACCUAGGCGACGAUCAGUAGCGGGUCCGAGAGGAUGAUCCGCCACACUGGGACUGAGACACGGCCCAGACUCCUACGGGAGGCAGCAGUGGGGAAUUUUGGACAAUGGGCGAAAGCCUGAUCCAGCCAUGCUGCGUGUCUGAAGAAGGCCUUCGGGUUGUAAAGGACUUUUGUCAGGGAGGAAAUCCCUAGUGCUAAUAACACUGGGGGAUGACAGUACCUGAAGAAUAAGCACCGGCUAACUACGUGCCAGCCGCCGCGGUAA